rfam:Camelus ferus unplaced genomic scaffold scaffold295, whole genome shotgun sequence.
GAGGGUGUAGCUCAGUGGUAGAGCACAUGCUUAGCAUGCAUGAGGUCCUGGGUUCAAUCCCCAGUACCUCCA